UGGGGAAUAUUGCACAAUGGGCGAAACCCUGAUGCAGCCAUGCCGCGUGUGUGAAGAAGGCCUUAGGGUUGUAAAGCACUUUCAGUUGGGAGGAAAGGUUGGUAGUUAAUACCUGCCAGCUGUGACGUUAACAACAGAAGAAGCACCGGCUAACUCCGUGCCAGCAGCCGCGGUAAUACGGAGGGUGCGAGCGUUAAUCGGAAUUACUGGGCGUAAAGCGCACGCAGGCGGUUUGUUAAGCUAGAUGUGAAAGCCCCGGGCUCAACCUGGGAAGGGCAUUUAAAACUGGCAGACUAGAGUCUGGGAGAGGGGAGUGGAAUUCCAUGUGUAGCGGUGAAAUGCGUAGAUAUGUGGAGGAACAUCAGUGGCGAAGGCGGCUCCCUGGACAAAGACUGACGCUGAUGUGCGAAAGCGUGGGUAGCAAACAGGAUUAGAUACCCUGGUAGUCCACGCCGUAAACGAUGUCUACUAGCUGUUGGAGAACUUAAUACCUGAGUAGCGAAGCUAACGCGCUAAGUAGACCGCCUGGGGAGUACGGCCGCAAGGUUA
rnacentral:rRNA from 1 species